AUUCUCCUCCAGGCAGGCUCCCUCCCAGCCAGCCCAGGUGCUGCUCUCAUGCCUUCUCCCAUAGCUGCCAGGCAGCUGCAGUGGGGAGCUCCCAUUCCUCGUGCUUCAGGAAGACUCUUCAGUCUAUCUCCAUGACAGGGAUUGUAUCACCUCCAUGUUUAAUUCCAUGGCCAAAUCCUGGGCCAUUUCCUGGGGAUCUUGGAAGCAGCCUUCAAGCUUCCAUCUUUUUGGUACGAGUGAUCCAGUUGGAGAAGGUAACACUAUCAUCUGCGUGGACUGGUUGUCAGGGAGCAGCAAAGCUGAUAUCAUCUGAACCACAGAGAGGCCAAUGGGAUGAGUCUGACUUCACCCAAAGGGUGUUUUGGGUCCUGCUCAGCAGUAGCACCUGCAUCAUCAAAGCGUUAUCAUAUGGUUGAUUGUUUUAACUUCCAAUUUUGCAAAGCAGCAACACUGAUGGCGAAGACAUUAAUGACGUUUUCAUGCUUCUAGCUAAACUUGAAGAAGAGAAUUUGCUUCAGUGAGGCAUUUUACCCUGCUGAGGACCACUCCUGCUUCACAAAGCAUCAGUAACUCCAGUGCCCCUGCCAGGAGCUGGGGCCAUGAACGCAUGCAGCUGGCACAUGCCCUGAGGGGAUGGGAGCAUCUAAGGCCUCCGGGCAAAACUCAAGAAGUUCCAUAAUGUGAUUCUCAGGCCUUUUUGGACUCUUUCUUCCUUUUUGCUUCAGGCACAACAAAGCCAUAAUGGGAUUUGCAGUGUGCUUGGGCUUGGAGCCAUAUGAACAGUAGUUGUAUUCUUCAGAGGAGCAGUCCAGCCCUGGGCAUUGCUUUCCUGUGCUUCAGGAACGGCACCUCUGUAAAACUGGGGAGAUAAUGGCAUUUGGCUGUCACCUAUGUUGAACACAUUAAUUAACAUUCUAACUGGAGCACAGUAGCUAUGCACUGCUAUCAGCUCUAUUCCAUGGGAGUCAAACACUGACCUUCUUCUGUUUCAUUCUCCUAGAAUCGCUUUUCCUGUGAUUUUCAUUUACAUUGCUAAGUAGCCCAAGCAUACUUAGACUUCUAUUUAUCUCUCUCUAGAAUACAAGAGGCACUUAUCUGGCACUAUAAAUGUAAUAAUGAUAAUAACAGAGCUGUCUUUCAGUGUUUAUUUGAAUGCACCUGGUAAAUUCUGGGGAAAGUCUGAGCGCAGGGAUAUAUUUUAGUCAUUAAAAGACAACUGAUGUUUUAUUUAACUCAGUAAUUAAAAGUUUCACCAAGAUCACCAUGGGGUGGUUUUAUAAUAGCUCAGUUUCAAUGGAAUGCCCGAAUCAACAAGUAUGAUAAUGGUCCAGGAGAAUAAUUUUAAUAAAAGCAACAAAGCUUCUUAAAGAUUCAGACAUAUUUCCCUCAAGAAAAUGAAAAGUAUUUCUAUAGAGAUUAUAACAACUACAUAAUUAGUCCAGCAUUCCACUGUGCACAAACUACGCCGGAAUCCCAAUUGAUUUUAUUGUACAAAUUCCUGCAGCAGGUCAGCAAUGUAUGGAUUUGUAAAAUGAUGGUGCUGAGCUAGUUUAUCAGUCUAUAACAAACAGCAACAGCAUUUUCCUUAAAGUAGAACACGUUAAGAAAAGAGAUACAGCCUGCACAGCUGUCAGAUUGCACUUCUUUUAAAAGUAUAUAUAUGUAUGUUGUUUUAUGAACUGAGGACAUAAGAGAAGCAGUUACAAGGGAGCAUGUCUAGGGAAAAGUAUGUUAGUGAGAACAUGAUAUGAAAAGGGGGAAUAAACUUUCCCUCUCUAUUGAUGAAAUAGAUAUAGCUCUCUAUGGUCCAUUCCUAGUCUGAUAUAGAAGUUUGACAGCUCUUCUCAUAUAUUCAGUGCUAUAAAAUAUGUUCUCAUACUGCUACUCCAACUACCAGCGUUAACGUUUCCCUUUUUUUGCCCUCUUAUUCUAUUUUUUUUCCCCUCCUUCUUAUUAUUUUCCAGAGGAAAUAGCUUUCAGUGCCAUUUGUGACACAUCGCUUCUCUCUUCUGUAUCCCUGGAGUAAGAACUAGUUGUUGUGAUCAGCCUCAUUUCUCAUCUGUGCGUGACACAUUUACCUUGCAAACUUUGUGGUGCCAGAAGAUGUUACUGUGAUAAAUGUUUGCUAUGCCAACACAGCCUCUGCGGUAAGCAUGGUGAAUGUUUCAUAAUUGACUUCAGCGCAGAGCCAGGGGAUUAGGUCAAACCAUGCUACCAUGUUGACGAGUUUUGCAUUUAAUCUGGCUGUGUUGAUCCUGCGUGAUGUGGAAUUAAUGGCUGGGAAAAAGCCUGGAGAGACAGGAGUGGAAAAUGGGGACAGGAGAUCUUCAAGUAGUCCAGCUGGAUCUGGCAAAAAACCUCGCUCCGUGGCGCAAAAUUUCUUCACCAACAAAUCCCAAUCCCUUUGAAUUUUAGGGUUGCAUUGUACGUUUAAAUUGUACUGAGUAAUAUUUGCAAGGCAAGCCUUCCAUGCAAGUACAUAGGCUCCAGCUGAUUGGUAUCAGUAGGUCAUGCAAGUGGGAACUAGCUAAGAACCUUUUGUGUUUUAGGCAUGUGCAUGUAAUGGUAUGAGCAACUGCAUGUGAGCUCUGCAAUGCAAAGGAGAGCAAUCAUAAUCUUAGUAAAGUAUAAACAUGAAUUGUUAUAGAAUUACCAUAAUAGCAUUUAUAUUAGUAGGAAUAAAUGGUACCAUGAGGCUGAUUAAAGCUAAAGAGCUACUUUCCUGCUCACGGACGACAAUUAGCGCUUCACUGAACUGCUUGCCAAAGGACUCCACUAAACUGCAGGCAAUUGACCCUACAGGCUGUAUUCCCAGUGUGCGUUAUAUGCAGUUGAAUUUUUUCACACAGAGAACUCUGCCAUGGGAAUAGUGAGACGGAUGGAAGAACGUCCCUUCAGCAGAAGAAAAAGCUGGGGCUUUGUACAUACUGUUACAUUACACAUUUGCAAGCUCUUCAUAAGCUUUUAAAAGUCCAAAUCUAUCAGCUCUUUCUCUAACUUGUGGGUAAGUCCCCGUCAGUCUGUUCUCUCAUUUCAGUAUGCCAUGAGAUUACAUUUCAGGAGCUUGAGGGGAGGGAAUAAUUUCUGUAUCCCCAAGGACCACCAAUUGAAAACACGAUCUGGGUGUUCAGUUUCCAAGAGCACGUACACUACUCAUGGUAAGGUUUAAGACACCAUUCUUGUAUUUGAUCAUGUCUUAUUUUCAGUAUAACAGUGGAGCCUUUCACCUCACAAAUCUCACUUUCUCCAUUUCUUUCCUCUGGACAAAAACUCCUCCCCCCUUUUGGUAACAGCUACAGUCUCUGAUACUGCAGUUGAUACACAGCCAGCUUUGCUGGUAUCUGCUUUUGCUUUUGUAACUCAGCGGGGUCUAUUGCCUCCUUCAAGCCUCACCUAAAUUUAACAUAAAUUUUCACAACCUCCUCUUUGCUUUCGUAUUGACACCUCCCUGUCUUCUUCCCUGCAGAUUUC